rnacentral:rRNA from 1 species
UACGAAGGUGGCAAGCGUUGUUCGGAUUUACUGGGCGUAAAGGGAGCGUAGGUGGUUAGGUAAGCCCUCCGGGAAAUCUUCAGGCUUAACCUGAAAAGGUCGGGGGGGACUGCCUGGCUAGAGGACGGGAGAGGAGCGCGGAAUUCCCGGUGUAGCGGUGAAAUGCGUAGAGAUCGGGAGGAAGGCCGGUGGCGAAGGCGGCGCUCUGGAACGUUUCUGACAUUGAGGCUCGAAAGCGUGGGGAGCAAACAGG